rnacentral:rRNA from 1 species
CCUACGGGUGGCAGCAGUAGGGAAUAUUGCUCAAUGGUGGAAACCCUGAAGCAGCAACGCCGCGUGGAGGAUGAAGGUUUUCGGAUUGUUAACUCCUUUUUUUAGAGAAGAUAAUGACGGUAUCUAACGAAUAAUCACCGGAUAACUCCGUGCCAGCAGCCGCGGUAAUACGGAGGGGGCAAGCGUUACUCGGAAUCACUGGGCGUAAAGAGCGCGUAGGCGGGAUAGCAAGUCAGAUGUGAAAUCCUAUGGCUUAACCAUAGAACUGCAUUUGAAACUGUCAGUCGAGAGUAUGGGAGAGGUAGGUGGAAUGCGCGGUGUAGGGGUAAAAUCCGUAGAGAUCAAGAGGAACACUGAUUGCGAAGGCGACAUGCUAGAACAUAACUGACGCUGAUGCGCGAAAGCGUGGGGAGCGAACAGGAUUAGAUACCCCUGUAGUC